rnacentral:rRNA from 1 species
AACGGCCGUACCAUGCUGAAUAUACCGGUUCUCGUUAGAUCACCGAAGUUAAGCAUCAUUGGGCGCGGUCAGUACUUGGGUGGGUGAUCACCUGGGAACAUUGCGUGCCGUUU